GAAAGUGAUAGUAAAAGCACAGGACGAAGGAUGUUCAUCCAGCUUGGAGGCUGAGAUAUAAGGAUAUGAGAGUGUGAAUUUCAUUCCACUCUUGGCAGAGGAAUUUGGAAUCUGUGGAAUUCUUGAUCAGAGCAACAGCAGUUUCUCAGCAGUAAGUGGAUGCAUCAGGGGAAGAGACGCUGCAGCCAUAAAGCAAUGCUGGGGUAUUAUGAACAGGACCACCUUGAGCCCAUCCCUCAGCUCUCGUCAGCAAACAUUAUCAUUUCAAGAGAAACAUGAACUGGGGCAGUCUGCGUGCAAAGGAGUCUCUCUGAGAAACUACUAUGCUGCGCAGGAAUGUGGCUUAAAAUUAAAGCAUGCCUCGGAUGACAGGUGGCCACCGUGAACUCUAUAACUUCCACAGGAAAUAGAAGCCGAAAAUAAAAGAUUUCAACCUUCAACCAAUAAUUAUUGCAUGUCCCUAGUGUGGUGCAGAGAUACAAGUGAACAAGCCAGAUCUUGCUCUUAAGGAAAUGAGAGCCAAGGAGAGGAGAGAGACAAGCAAAAGAUACUUAUAAUAUAACAUUGUGAAUUGCUACUAAUGAAUUGAAACAGCUUGAUAAGAGAGGCCCCAAAGGAUCUUCUGACCUGGAGGAUGUGAAAAAGCUUCUUGGAAAGAGUGGGAUUUAAAGAACAGAGCUUUAGAGAAGAUGUGGAUGUGGGGUGGGGGAGGGUGAAAUGUGGUAGCCCAGUACAAAUCUUCCAGGUCUCUUUGUAAGUGAUGUUCUUCUCUGACUCCUUCAAAGCAGGAUGAACUGAGCUGCCGUUGAGGCAAGGGCAAAGAAGGCCACCUAUUCUUGGGCGCACCUGCUAAGAUAAUGAAGUCCUUGUCCUUAACCAAGGUUGGCUGUCCCUUGUGCCAAGUCUAUCCACCCCUCAAUGAACUGCGUCCUCUGCAGCUACAGCUACCGCUACUUCUUAUUGAUUGCCUCUGAAAAGGCUACCACUGUUUGGCAACCAGCCUGCUCACCUUCUAGCCUGUGGAGUUCUUUUCAUUGGCUUUCCUCCCCUCUGACCUGAACUAGGCUGCAUUUGUGAGGUAACCACCACCAAGGCAAUCAAAUGCCACAAAAAACAGCAGAAAGAUGCAAAACAAACCACACCAUUUCUUCCUCCCAGGAUUUAGAAGCCCUAGGAAGAGCCAAG
rnacentral:lncRNA from 1 species